GACGAACGCUGGCGGCGUGCUUAACACAUGCAAGUCGAACGGAAAGGCCCUGCUUGCCGGGUGCUCGAGUGGCGAACGGGUGAGUAACACGUGGGUGAUCUGCCCCUUACCUUGGGAUAAGCCUGGGAAACUGGGUCUAAUACUGGAUAGGACCAUGCUGUAGGUGGUGUGGUGGAAAGAUUAGUUUCGGUAAGGGAUGAGCUCGCGGCCUAUCAGCUUGUUGGUGGGGUAAUGGCCUACCAAGGCGUCGACGGGUAGCCGGCCUGAGAGGGUGGACGGCCACAUUGGGACUGAGAUACGGCCCAGACUCCUACGGGAGGCAGCAGUGGGGAAUAUUGCACAAUGGGCGCAAGCCUGAUGCAGCGACGCCGCGUGGGGGAUGACGGCCUUCGGGUUGUAAACUCCUUUCAGCCAUGACGAAGCCCUUGUGGUGACGGUAGUGGUAGAAGAAGCACCGGCUAACUACGUG
rnacentral:rRNA from 1 species